UACGUAGGGGGCAAGCGUUGUCCGGAAUCAUUGGGCGUAAAGCGCGUGUAGGCGGCCCGAUAAGUCCGCUGUGAAAGUCCAGGGCUCAACCCUGGAAUGCCGGUGGAUACUGUCGGGCUCGAGUCCGGAAGAGGCGAGUGGAAUUCCUGGUGUAGCGGUGAAAUGCGCAGAUAUCAGGAGGAACACCUGUGGUGUAGACAGCUUACUGGACCAUAACUGACGCUGAGGCACGAAAGCGUGGGUAGCAAACAGG
rnacentral:rRNA from 1 species